rnacentral:rRNA from 1 species
UACGUAGGGUGCAAGCGUUAAUCGGAAUUACUGGGCGUAAAGCGUGCGCAGGCGGUUUUGUAAGUUUGUCGUGAAAGCCCCGGGCUCAACCUGGGAAUUGCAUUCGAGACUGAAUAGCUAGGGUACGGUAGAGGGAAGCGGAAUUUCCGGUGUAGCGGUGAAAUGCGUAGAUAUCGGAAGGAACAUCAGUGGCGAAAGCGGCUUCCUGGACCAGUACCGACGUUCAGGCACGAAAGCGUGGGGAGCAAACAGG